AUUGAACGCUGGCGGCAGGCCUAACACAUGCAAGUCGAGCGGAUGAAGGGAGCUUGCUCCUGGAUUCAGCGGCGGACGGGUGAGUAAUGCCUAGGAAUCUGCCUGGUAGUGGGGGAUAAGGCCCGGAAACGGCCGUUAAUACUGCAUCGUCCCGGAGGGAGAAGGUGGGGGUGUUUCGGACCUACCCCUCCAAGAUGAGCUUAGGCGGGAUUAGCUAGUUGGUGGGGUAAGGGCCUACCAAGGCGACGAUCCGUAACUGGUCUGAGAGGAUGAUCAGUCACACUGGAACUGAGACACGGUCCAGACUCCUGCGGGAGGCAGCAGUGGGGAAUAUUGGACAAUGGGCGAAAGCCUGAUCCAGCCAUGCCGCGUGUGUGAAGAAGGUCUUCGGAUUGUAAAGCACUUUAAGUUGGGAGGAAGGGCAGUAAGUUAAUACCUUGCUGUUUUGACGUUACCAACAGAAUAAGCACCGGCUAACUUCGUG
rnacentral:rRNA from 1 species